UGAGCAAUCUGCCCUUCUCUUCGGAAUAAGCGUUGGAAACGACGUCUAAUGCCGAAUACGACCUCCUUUCGCAUGAUCGGAGGUGGAAAGCUCCGGCGGAGAAGGAUGAGCUCGCGGCCUAUCAGCUAGUUGGUGUGGGUAAUGGCCCACCAAGGCGACGACGGGUAGCCGGCCUGAGAGGGUGACCGGCCACACUGGGACUGAGACACGGCCCAGACUCCGUACGGGAGG
rnacentral:rRNA from 1 species